rnacentral:rRNA from 1 species
GCCAGACUCCUACGGGAGGCAGCAGUGAGGAAUAUUGGUCAAUGGGCGCGAGCCUGAACCAGCCAAGUCGCGUGAGGGAUGACGGCCCUACGGGUUGUAAACCUCUUUUGCCGGGGAGCAACGGGCGCCACGUGUGGCGCCACUGAGAGUACCCGGAGAAAAAGCAUCGGCUAACUCCGUGCCAGCAGCCGCGGUAAUACGUAGGGAGCGAGCGUUGUCCGGAAUUACUGGGUGUAAAGGGAGCGUAGGCGGGCGAGAAAGUUGAAUGUUAAAUCUACCGGCUUAACUGGUAGCUGCGUUCAAAACUUCUUGUCUUGAGUGAAGUAGAGGCAGGCGGAAUUCCUAGUGUAGCGGUGAAAUGCGUAGAUAUUAGGAGGAACACCGGUGGCGAAGGCGGCUUACUGGACUGUAACUGACGUUGAGGCUCGAAAGCGUGGGGAGCAAACAGGAUUAGAUACCCUCGUA